rnacentral:rRNA from 1 species
AGCGAACGCUGGCGGCAGGCCUAACACAUGCAAGUCGAACGGAUCCUUCGGGAUUAGUGGCGGACGGGUGAGUAACACGUGGGAACGUGCCCUUUGGUUCGGAACAACUCAGGGAAACUUGAGCUAAUACCGGAUGUGCCCUUCGGGGGAAAGAUUUAUCGCCAUUGGAGCGGCCCGCGUCUGAUUAGCUAGUUGGUGGGGUAAAGGCCCACCAAGGCGACGAUCAGUAGCUGGUCUGAGAGGAUGAUCAGCCACAUUGGGACUGAGACACGGCCCAAACUCCUACGGGAGGCAGCAGUGGGGAAUCUUGCGCAAUGGGCGAAAGCCUGACGCAGCCAUGCCGCGUGAAUGAUGAAGGUCUUAGGAUUGUAAAAUUCUUUCACCGGGGACGAUAAUGACGGUACCCGGAGAAGAAGCCCCGGCUAACUUCGUGCCAGCCGCCGCGGUAAUUCA